rnacentral:rRNA from 1 species
CGUAACGUAGGGAACCUGCCAUGCGGCCGGGACAACUUCCGGAACGGAUGCUGAUACCGGAUAAGGAAAGCGAAGGCAUCUUUGCUUUGUUAAAGGAGCUGCAAGGCUCCGCGCAUGGAUGGACCUGCGGUGCAUUAGCUGGUUGGUGAGGUAAAGGCUCACCAAGGCGACGAUGCAUAGCCGGCCUGAGAGGGCGAACGGCCACACUGGGACUGAGACACGGCCCAGACUCCUACGGGAGGCAGCAG